rnacentral:rRNA from 1 species
UACAGAGGGUGCAAGCGUUGUUCGGAAUUAUUGGGCGUAAAGGGCGCGUAGGCGGAUGGCACAGUCAGAUGUGAAAUUCCCGGGCUUAACCUGGGGGCUGCAUUUGAUACGUGUGAUCUAGAGUGAGGAAGAGGGUCGUGGAAUUCCCAGUGUAGAGGUGAAAUUCGUAGAUAUUGGGAAGAACACCGGUGGCGAAGGCGGCGACCUGGUCCUUGACUGACGCUGAGGCGCGAAAGCGUGGGGAGCAAACAGG